ACCAGGUAAGGUCCCAUUUGCAGGGGUCACUGUCUUGCAUCAUGCAACGGAAAGCUAUUACCCUCCCCGUAGUCCUGGAAACUGCAGGACAGAAGAGAGAAGACUAAUCAGAACGACGACCCUCAGGUUCAGUGUGUGGGACUGCCCGACCCGUCCCGAAAUUGCGCAGCCUGCGGCUAACCUGCAACAAAGAGGAGCCUUGCGCGGGGCGCUAAAGAGAAAAAGGAGGGUCAAAUACAGAGACCACCAAUCAGAACUAGAACCCUCUAGUUCAGCUGCCCAAUGAGAAGGCGGAUCUUCUGUCGUCCGGACGACCGCGCGGACGUUUCUGUGACUCCACUGCAACCCUGAGUGAGGCCCCAGAGAAGAGAUUGGGUACAUAUGAAAGGUAGAUGAGGAUGGUGACGGAGAGGAAGACGCCGCGAUGGGAGGAAUGUCGGCAGAGGAACAGCACGAGGUAGCACAGGAGGCUGAGCAGCACGACCCAAACCAUGUGCAGCUGGAAGAAGUGGUAGAGGCUGAAGAACCCGCCUGCCACGGUGCUUGCAUGCUUCAGGUAGGAUGGCAACCCUUUGGGUGAGAGAAAGAGAGAGAGAACAAGAAAGGGAAUUAGAGCAGGGCUGGUAGAAGGGCAGCCUGGGCAGAGGACGUAGCUCAG